rnacentral:rRNA from 1 species
UACGGAGGGUGCGAGCGUUGUCCGGAAUCAUUGGGCGUAAAGGGCGCGUAGGCGGCUUCUUAAGCGGGCGGUGAAAGCCUGGGGCUCAACCCCGGGUCGGCCGUGCGAACUGGGGGGCUUGAGCACUGUAGAGGCAGGCGGAAUUCCGGGUGUAGCGGUGGAAUGCGUAGAGAUCCGGAAGAACACCGGUGGCGAAGGCGGCCUGCUGGGGAGUUUUGCUGACACUGAGGCGCGACAGCGUGGGGAGCAAACAGG